AGAACGAACGCUGGCGGCAUGCCUAAUACAUGCAAGUCGAACGAGAUCUUCGGAUCUAGUGGCGCACGGGUGCGUAACGCGUGGGAAUCUACCCUUGGGUUCGGAAUAACAGUUGGAAACGACUGCUAAUACCGGAUGAUGACGAAAGUCCAAAGAUUUAUCGCCCAGGGAUGAGCCCGCGUAGGAUUAGCUAGUUGGUGAGGUAAGGCUCACAGGCUACGAUCCUUAGCUGGUCUGAGAGGAUGAUCAGCCACACGUGGGACUGAGACACGGCCCAGACCUCCGUACGGGAGGCAGCAAGGUAGGGAAUAGUUGGACAAGUGGGGACCAACCCUGACU
rnacentral:rRNA from 1 species